AAAAAAGUUUUUCUUUUUUAAUCUUUUUAUGACAAUUCAAGUAUUGUGGUCACAAGAAACAUGUUAUAUUUUUUUUAUCUUCAAAAGCAAUGUUAAUUA